CUCCUGCUUAUGGGUGAGGAGCAAGAUAACAAACAGUCUGCUUCAUGGAGACAUUCCUAUGGACUCAAGAAAAAGGACAUACUUGUAAUUGUGUGUGUUUAUGGUAAAAAAAAUCCAUUGAUAAGAAAACAGAAUCAAAUGCGUCCUCAAUGCAAAGUUGGAUGCAUUUCAAGUUGCAAUUAAAGUAUUCCCCGAAAGACUGCAACCUCUUUCACAUCAAGCACUUUAGUGUCCUCUUCUGGAAGCAUCUGAUAUUCUUUUUGCACUGUUGCCUGUAACUCUGCCUCUUUAGAGUUACCUGUUUACACAGUCCAGUUACUAAAGAGAGACCUUACUGCAUAGUGAUGACUGUGAUCCAUACUAGAAGUGCCAUAAAGAUCCCUGGAUUGCAUAACAGUGGGACACCAUAGGUUACUUUUGUCGGCUCUAAUAAAAUUACCUGCACUUUGCCUUAACCCAGCCAAAAUGUGAUUGUCAGAAGAAAAGUUACAGAAGAAACAGCAGGCCCAUCCUGCCAGUGUUUUGUGUGGGACUGUUGUCUUUCUGUGAAGACUUAUACCCAAGAUGCAGUGCUCUGAGAAAUCCGAGCACACAAUUGGACAGCAUGUUGAUGACACAAGGUUUUAAUGUCAAGCCUCCAUGCUGAUCACACAGUCAUUUGUUUAGUUAGGAAACAAACUUACAAGACAAGUUGCCUUUGAAGGAGGAUUGUUCUAUCAAAUAUCAGAUUACAUCUGUGGCAGUUUUUGCACAGGUUUAUUGCAGUCAUUUAUGUCAGUAAAGUGUAAUGAAAUUAUAUGGCAACACAGUGCCCAAACAAUGUCAGUAUCUGUACAAAGUGCAGUAUAUUUAUUCACAGCAAUUUGUAGCUUCAUCAUAACUAUUUUCUAUAUUGUACACUGCGACCUGUCAGGUGACUGUGACACCUUAAUGCAUGAUAGCCUAUCUCUUGAGGUAACAUUCUGCCCAUUUUAAGAGGAUUCACGAACGCUUUGCAGUGCAAUGCGUUACUUAGCCUCUGACACCAAACAUGCUAUAGUGGAGCAAUUUUUAAAGAUUCUUCAUUAACGAGGCUAAGUUAUUAUCAUUAAAGAAGAAAAAAAAGCAGCUUUCAAAUAAUUUUUAUCUUUCCCCACUAUUGGUGUUUUUUUUAUGUACUGAACUAGUAUUUUACAAAAUAAAAACAUCUACAGGAUUUCUAUACAGGAAGACCAACUAAACAUUUAGCACUAACUAAUAUUUUAUAUUUAAGUUCAGUGUAAAAAUAUAGUAUAUGUGGGUGUGUUUUCACUGCAUAAGAAACUUUUUCUUUAGUGUAUAUUUUCAAUUUUGUGAUGUCUCGGGAGAUUGUUAUUGUUGCAUAUAUUUUAUCCUUUUGUUUGGUGAAUAUACAAAAAAUACUCUUAGUCUGAUAAAACGAAAUACUGUUUUGGGCUAUUAAUUAGUAGUUCGUGUUUAUAAAUUAUUGCAAAAAAUAUAUAUACUUCCUUGAAUUGUACUUAUUAUUGGUUUGAGUAAUUCUUCUGAAAUGUAUCUGCAAAAGUAUUGCAAUAAUAAUGAAAGUGCAGUGUUUGUUAGAUGCCGAAGGUUUGUGCAUGUCAACAGUGUCAAAUUUCUAAACACUGAGUAGAAGAUGGAAUGGUUAUAUUAUGAAAUACCUGUUAUUAUCCCCUUAAGGACACAUGACGAAAAUAUUCCGUCAUGAUUCCCUUUUAUUUCUGAAGUUGUGUCCUUAAGGGGUUAAAUCGCCUUUAUUCUCUGUUUUGUUUAUUGAAGAAACCAUGAAUAGGCU